GAUGAACGCUGGCGGCGUGCCUAAUACAUGCAAGUCGAACGCAUAGCGAAAGGUGCUUGCACCUUUCAAGUGAGUGGCGAACGGGUGAGUAACACGUGGACAACCUGCCUCAAGGCUGGGGAUAACAUUUGGAAACAGAUGCUAAUACCGAAUAAAACUUAGUGUCGCAUGACACAAAGUUAAAAGGCGCUUCGGCGUCACCUAGAGAUGGAUCCGCGGUGCAUUAGUUAGUUGGUGGGGUAAAGGCCUACCAAGACAAUGAUGCAUAGCCGAGUUGAGAGACUGAUCGGCCACAUUGGGACUGAGACACGGCCCAAACUCCUACGGGAGGCUGCAGUAGGGAAUCUUCCACAAUGGGCGAAAGCCUGAUGGAGCAACGCCGCGUGUGUGAUGAAGGCUUUCGGGUCGUAAAGCACUGUUGUAUGGGAAGAACAGCUAGAAUAGGAAAUGAUUUUAGUUUGACGUUACCAUACCAGAAAGGGACGGCUAAAUACGUG
rnacentral:rRNA from 1 species